rnacentral:rRNA from 1 species
GAUGAACGCUGGCGGCGUGCUUAACACAUGCAAGUCGAACGGACAGGCCCUGCUUUUGUGGGGUGCUCGAGUGGCGAACGGGUGAGUAACACGUGAGUAUCCUGUCCUUGACUUUGUGAUAUCUUCAGGAAACUGGGGCUCAUACCGGAUAGGAGCUCCUGCUGCAUGGUGGGGGUUGGAAAGUUUCGGCGGUUGGGGAUGGACUAGCGGCUUAUCAGCUUGUUGGUGGGGUAGUGGCUUACCAAGGCUUUGACGGGUAGCCGGCCUGAGAGGGUGGCCGGCCACAUGGCGACUGAGAUACGGACCAGACUCCUACGGGAGGCAGCAGGGGGGAAUAUUGCACAGUGAGCGGAAGCCUGAUACAGCAACGCCGCGUGCGGGAUGACGGCCUUCGGGUGGUAAACCGCUGUCGCCUGAGACGAAGCGGUAGUGACGGUAAUGGGUAAAGAAGCACCGGCUAACUACGUG